GCUGCGCACUUCGGUCUUUUACGUCGGCCUUCGCGAGCGUCUGGGCGGGUGGUAGGUGAGUGGGUAUUGCGGGCUAGUAUCCGAGCAAAAGAUGGUGGCGCAGGCCGAGUUAAGAGCUUUAAUCCUGUGAAGACAUCUUAGUGAAGAGUUUAGAGUGCUGAGAGUUGAAAGCUUGCACGUGGGAAACGUGCGGCCGGACUGCCACAUGUACUGAGGUUGAGUCGUGACGGCCACAGGCUCCGAGUUUUGGCGUGAGGAACCGCUGAUCGGCCACGGGCGCCGAACUUGCUGGCCUCCGGCAUGUGCCUGAGCGGCGGCGGAAAAACCACCUUAAUUGGGGCGGAGGGUUAGUUUUAACAGCAAAGGGCCUUUACUAAAAUGGCGAAGGCCUUCCGUCGGCGUUGUUUUAAAAUGGGAAGCCUCGACCCUGUAUUGAAACUGAGCUGUUCGAAGGCGGCGUUGUGUGCAAUUCGGAUUAAUGAAGGGGAAGGGUUUUGUGUGGAAAAACGCCUUGGAGUGUGACAUUUCUGCGAGAAUGCUUAAAUACCGAUUUCCCGCAGGAACAAUGGCGCUGUCUUCAGUGGCACAGUGGAGCAGCUCUGAAGAUGCAAAGAUACACGAAAAAACUUCCAGAACAUCUGGGAGAAUAUUUAAUGGAAAAUCGCUUGGUUAAAACCUGACACUUUUAACAGUGAGGGUCGCUGUCUGCCCAUUGAUAGAGGCCAGAUUGUCUUGGAAGUUCCAAAGUUGCAACGAUUUCUGUAAGUGGAGUUUUUCUGUUUGCUUAGAGAUCAGUGAAUAUUGUGUCCUUGGUCUUAUCUGUGAUGAUCUUAUCCCGAACCUGAACUUCUGUUGAAAAAAAAAAACUUUUACGGAUCUGGCUUCUGAGAUGGACCGUUAUAAGGACAAUAUUUUUUUUUAAUACUUUUAAUGCUUUUACAUAUGUUGUAAUGUUUGUAGUCUUGUAAGAAUCUCGUGUUUUUCCUUUUCUAGGGCUAGUGCCACGAGGUUUACUUGACUGUUGUGUGAAAAGCUGAUAAGAAAACCAUCCAGAAAAAAGCUCUUCGUUUUACAAACAUGAAAAUAAAACAUGUAAUUUUGGAUUAUGUUCCUUUUUGUUAUUACUUUUAAAUAGGUCCUGAAAUAACAUGGGGAGCAUUAAAUGGAAAAUCCACU
rnacentral:lncRNA from 1 species